CACGAAGGGGGCUAGCGUUGCUCGGAAUCACUGGGCGUAAAGCGCACGUAGGCGGACUCUUAAGUCAGGGGUGAAAUCCUGGAGCGCAACUCCAGAACUGCCUUUGAUACUGGGAGUCGUUGAGUUCGGGAGAGGUGAGUGGAACUGCGAGUGGUAGAGGUGAAAUUCGUAGAUAUUCGCAAGAACACCAGUGGCGAAGGCGGCUCCACU
rnacentral:rRNA from 1 species